CUGAUGCAGCAACGCCGCGUGAGGGACGACGGCCUUCGGGGUUGUAAACCUCUUUUAGUAGGGAAGAAGCGAAAGUGACGGUACCUGCAGAAAAAGCACCGGCUAACUACGUGCCAGCAGCCGCGGUAAUACGUAGGGUGCGAGCGUUGUCCGGAAUUAUUGGGCGUAAAGAGCUCGUAGGCGGUCUGUCGCGUCUGCUGUGAAAACCCGAGGCUCAACCUCGGGCCUGCAGUGGGUACGGGCAGACUAGAGUGCGGUAGGGGAGAAUGGAAUUCCUGGUGUAGCGGUGGAAUGCGCAGAUAUCAGGAGGAACACCGAUGGCGAAGGCAGUUCUCUGGGCCGUAACUGACGCUGAGGAGCGAAAGCGUGGGGAGCGAACAGGAUUAGAUACCCUGGUAGUCCACGCCGUAAACGUUGGGCGCUAGAUGUGGGGACCAUUCCACGGUUUCCGUGUCGCAGCUAACGCAUUAAGCGCCCCGCCUGGGGAGUACGGCCGCAAGGCUAAAACUCAAAGGAAUUGACGGGGGCCCGCACAAGCGGCGGAGCAUGCGGAUUAAUUCGAUGCAACGCGAAGAACCUUACCAAGGCUUGACAUACACGAGAACGCCCUAGAAAUAGGGAACUCUUUGGACACUCGUGAACAGGUGGUGCAUGGUUGUCGUCAGCUCGUGUCGUGAGAUGUUGGGUUAAGUCCCGCAACGAGCGCAACCCUCGUUCUAUGUUGCCAGCGCGUAAUGGCGGGAACUCAUAGGAGACUGCCGGGGUCAACUCGGAGGAAGGUGGGGAUGACGUCAAAUCAUCAUGCCCCUUAUGUCUUGGGCUUCACGCAUGCUACAAUGGCCGGUACAAAGGGCUGCAAUACCGUAAGGUGGAGCGAAUCCCAAAAAGCCGGUCUCAGUUCGGAUUGAGGUCUGCAACUCGACCUCAUGAAGUCGGAGUCGCUAGUAAUCGCAGAUCAGCAACGCUGCGGUGAAUACGUUCCCGGGCCUUGUACACACCGCCCGUCAAGUCAUGAAAGUCGGUAACACCCGAAGCCGGUGGCCCAACCC
rnacentral:rRNA from 1 species